UCCGUAGGUGAACCUGCGGAAGGAUCAUUAUUGAAUAUCUUUGAUGGGUUGUAGCUGGCUCCAGGGAGCAUGUGCACGCCUGUCUUGGCUUAAUUCAUCCACUUGUGCACUCAUUGUAGUUUCAACCAGGGCCUAUCAGUUGCAAGGCUGGAUGUGAGGAAUGUGAAGAGCUCUCCUCUGAACCUUGGUUGGACUAUGUCUUUAUACACAAACAUUGUAGUAUGUUGCGGAAUGCAUUGAAUGGGCUCUUUUGCCUGUAGAGUAUAUUAUACAACUUUCAGCAACGGAUCUCUUGGCUCUCGCAUCGAUGAAGAACGCAGCGAAAUGCGAUAAGUAAUGUGAAUUGCAGAAUUCAGUGAAUCAUCGAAUCUUUGAACGCACCUUGCACUCCUUGGUAUUCCGAGGAGCAUGCCUGUUUGAGUGUCAGUAAAUUCUCAACCCCACUGGCUUUUGCAAGUCAGCACUCGGGGCUUGGAUGUGGAGGUUCUGCAGGCCUUUUGUUGGGUCAGCUCCUCUCAAAUGCAUUAGCGGAACUGUUUGCGAUCCGUCACAGGUGUGAUAAUYAUCUACGCCAGUGGAUUGCUUUCUGUCUGUUCAGCUGCCAAUUGUCCUCAUGGACAGACUUACUGAACCUUUGACCUCAAAUCAGGUAGGACUACCCGCUGAACUUAAGCAUAUCAAUAAGCGGA
rnacentral:rRNA from 1 species